CCAACCAAUGAUGGGAAUUCUUGGGUGUCUGAAUCAAUGAUUUUUAUUAAGCCUGUAACUCUGAGGUCCAU
ensembl:snoRNA Gm24564 predicted gene, 24564